GAUGAAGAACGUAGCGAAAUGCGAUAAGUAAUGCGAAUUGCAGAAUUCCAGUGAGUCAUCGAAUCUUUGAACGCACAUUGCGCCCCUUGGUAUUCCGAGGGGCAUGCCUGUUCGAGCGUCAUUAUAACCCCUCAAGCUCAGCUUGGUGUUGGGGCCUGCUGCACUGGCAGCCCUUAAAAUCAGUGGCGGCGCCAUCUGGCUCUAAGCGUAGUAAUUCUUCUCGCUAUGGAGUCCUGGUGGAUGCUUGCCAUCAACCCCCAAUUUUUCUAUGGUUGACCUCGGAUCAGGUAGGGAUACCCGCUGAACUUAAGCAUAUCAAUAAGCGGAGGA
rnacentral:misc_RNA from 1 species